rnacentral:rRNA from 1 species
GCAGGCCUAACACAUGCAAGUCGAACGGUAACAGGAAGCAGCUUGCUGCUUCGCUGACGAGUGGCGGACGGGUGAGUAAUGUCUGGGAAACUGCCUGAUGGAGGGGGAUAACUACUGGAAACGGUAGCUAAUACCGCAUAACGUCGCAAGACCAAAGAGGGGGACCUUCGGGCCUCUUGCCAUCGGAUGUGCCCAGAUGGGAUUAGCUAGUAGGUGGGGUAACGGCUCACCUAGGCGACGAUCCCUAGCUGGUCUGAGAGGAUGACCAGCCACACUGGAACUGAGACACGGUUCAGACUCCUACGGGAGGCAGCAGUGGGGAAUAUUGCACAAUGGGCGCAAGCCUGAUGCAGCCAUGCCGCGUGUAUGAAGAAGGCCUUCGGGUUGUAAAGUACUUUCAGCGGGGAGGAAGGCGACAGGGUUAAUAACCCUGUCGAUUGACGUUACCCGCAGAAGAAGCACCGGCUAACUCCGUGCCAGCAGCCGCGGUAAUACGGAGGGUGCAAGCGUUAAUCGGAAUUACUGGGCGUAAGGCGCACGCAGGCGGUCUGUCAAGUCGGAUGUGAAAUCCCCGGGCUCAACCUGGGAACUGCAUUCGAAACUGGCAGGCUAGAGUCUUGUAGAGGGGGGUAGAAUUCCAGGUGUAGCGGUGAAAUGCGUAGAGAUCUGGAGGAAUACCGGUGGCGAAGGCGGCCCCCUGGACAAAGACUGACGCUCAGGUGCGAAAGCGUGGGGAGCAAACAG